CCCGCCUUCUUGCUGCGUCACAUCCUCUUUCCGUGCUCUUCUCGCUUUGAGAAUCUCACCCCACGAUGAGAGCCAAGUGGAGGAAGAAGCGUAUGCGCAGGCUGAAGCGUAAAAGGAGAAAGAUGAGGCAGAGGUCCAAGUAAGCCGUCUCUCCUUUCCUGGCUGCAAGUUCGUCUGUCCCAGAGACUGUGGUGAGGAGGACCCAGUGGAGACCUGAGGAGCUGCUGUUCUCUCAGAAAACCCUGUGCCCCCGCUCUGACUGUGGAACCUCUGGAAGAUAAACACUUUAACAUCAGACUACAGCUGGACUCUUGUCAUGGACCAUAAAAUUAUUGCUCUGUCAACGUGUGUUUUGAACAAUAAAUGGAACAUGUUCUUAAAGUUUACAAA